rnacentral:lncRNA from 1 species
CCGCUCCAUGUUUUCUUUUCCAACCUAUGUGGAGUCGCUCUUGAAUCAUGCUCGUGGCAUCGGUCUAACCCUAGUCGCUGCCAUUGUUUCUCGCCCCAUCAAUAGGUUGCUUCAGCGCCUUUGUACCUGUCGUGCUUUGUGUCAAUUUAGCGAAGCCGCUGAAUCCCUUGUCUUCGUUUUUCUUCCUCUAGGCACAUCACUAAUCCUCGCAGGACUUUGCAGGAGCUUGCUAUCCCCGUCCUGAGCCUUUUGUCGUCUCUAUCUGCUCCCCAUCGUUGAGAUCAACCUAGGUGAGUUUUCCCUAGGCCCUCUAACUCGAUGUGCUUUCCAUGCGUCAAUUCAUGGCCUGUAGGCCUAGUUCCUGUGCUCAUCGGGAACCUUCUUCACUGCCGACAAUGGAGCCACUGCUGCUCUGAAAAGUUCUGGCUUGCUACUUCCCUCUCUUCCCCUCAAAUGUAAUUGCAAUCGUACCCCUUCGUGGCCAUUUUUCUAAAGAGUUCCUCCUUUUCUUCGAUAUCUAGCCCGCAGUCCAUGGCCAGGUGUAAACAUAAUUUUUGAUUUAUUUUUUAAUCUGAAAAUAGUUUCCGUUAAAUACAAAACUACCAUUCAAUUCAUCUUUCUAUUUUCAAUCCAUUUUUAGUGAUUUUUGCGUCUUUGUGUUUGUGGCAAUGUGUAGAAUAUGUUCAUGAGCUUUUCAACUUGUUUUCCAUUGUUGUUGUAUUGUUCUAAUUAUAUUCAUUGUUUGCUAUGCAUGAUUAGCUCUAAAUGCUUAUGUGGUGGUAUAAUUGUGAUCGAGUAUAAAUGGUGAGCAAUUCAUUGGUGAUCAAGAGCAAUACUUUGACGAGCAGUACUAGCAGGAGUUCAUUGAUCAAGGCAAGUAUAGCAUGGGCUUUCCUUGUUGUUCUCACCAAUUAAAUUAAUUAGUCAUAUGCAUGUGUCAAUUUGAUACCAUAAGGACCUUCUAGUUUUUGUUACAUUAUACGUUGAUUACUGAC